rnacentral:rRNA from 1 species
UACGAAGGGGGCUAGCGUUGCUCGGAAUCACUGGGCGUAAAGCGCACGUAGGCGGAUUGUUAAGUCAGGGGUGAAAGCCUGGAGCUCAACUCCAGAACUGCCCUUGAUACUGGCAAUCUCGAGUCCGGAAGAGGUAAGCGGAACUCCGAGUGUAGAGGUGAAAUUCGUAGAUAUUCGGAAGAACACCAGUGGCGAAGGCGGCUUACUGGUCCGGUACUGACGCUGAGGUGCGAAAGCGUGGGGAGCAAACAGG